rnacentral:misc_RNA from 1 species
AAAUUGCGCGUCGCCAUGUGAACUGCAGGACACAUGAACAUCGACAUUUCGAACGCACAUUGCGGUCCAUGGAUUCCAUUCCCGGACCACGCCUGGCUGAGGGUCGGUUGUCAACACUUUCGGGUUCAGGUUUUUCUUGUUCCCGAAUGACUGCUGAGCGUUCGCUUUUCGCGACGCUUGAAACUGGUUGCAUAGCGAGAUGGUCUGUGAUUGGAUUUUUCUCUGCUCCGCGUCUCGUUGCCCCUUUGGGUAGCUUUGCACGGGCUAGGAUAUUUCACCACAGUUCGCAAUGACAACGGGCGGUGAUGCACGUGCAUGCGUGUGCCACUUAGCCGCGACUACCAACAACGACCUCAGAGCAGGUGAGACUACCCGCUGAAUUUAA